CGGCUGGCUUCACACCAGCCAUCUUGGGUGACGGUGAUCGCCGCCUCUAGGCGCUCCGGGUUAGAGCGUCUGGCGCCAUCUUGGAUGCGGUCAGCGUCGCCUUUGGCCUCCUCCGCCGGUGCCGCCGCGUCUGCCGCCUGGAGGCUUCGUCGUCCCUGAGUGUUUUCUGUCCUUAUCCCCUCUGCCUCCGUGACGGAUCGGGAGUAUGACGCCCUCGUUCUCCCUUCCCUCCUUGCUUCUGCCGAUGGCUCUGGCCUCGCCGCCGAGCACGUGACCAGCGGGAAUAUAAACAGUUACUUGAGAGUAGAGGAUGUUUCUGAUGUAUUUUAGCAUCUCUGAGUGCCAGAAGAAUAGGGGCUUACCAUCAGGAUCAGGAUGUAUCUGGGUAGUCUCCAGCGAGUGGCAUGGGAAGAAACAGAAGGGUUAAGAGAUUGAACAAACAGCGUGCACUGUGGUAUCCUUUAUUUAAAAACUGUGAGCUAACUACAGUUGUAGUGUUCUCAUUUACCAUUCUGAUGGCAUAAUAAACUGGGAGAACAUUAACACAAUUUCAAGACAUUAAAAACCUGUAGCAAACACACACCACACAUGCGCACACACAUGACAACACACAUGCACACGCAGAUUAUAGUCUAAACACAACUAAG